rnacentral:misc_RNA from 1 species
UCCGGUUUAACACCGGCAGUCUCCCUAGAGUUCCCAGCAUUACCUGAUGGCAACUAAGGACAGGGGUUUCGCUCGUUAAGGGACUUAACCCGACAUCUCACGACACGAGCUGACGACAGCCAUGCAACACCUUCGCAUGUUCCACCGGUAAAGGUGUCAUUCUACUUUCAUAGAACUAAUCCAUGCGCUUCGAGCCCGGGUAAGGUUCUUCGCGUUGCAUCGAAUUAAGCAACAUGCUCCACCGCUUGUGUGAGCCCCCGUCAAUUCCUUUGAGUUUCAGUCUUGCGACCGUACUCCCCAGGCGGAGUGCUUAAUGUGUUGACUUCGGCACAGCAGGGGUCGAUACCCGCUACACCAAGCACUCAUCGUUUACGGCGUGGACUAC